rnacentral:tRNA from 1 species
GGGCAAUUACUCAAGUGGCCAAAGAGGACAGUCUCGAAAAUUGUUAGGAGUUAAUAGCUCGCAAGGGUUCGAAUCCCUUAUUGCCCGCCA